rnacentral:rRNA from 1 species
AGCGAACGCUGGCGGCAGGCCUAACACACGCAAGUCGAACGAAGGCUUCGGCCUUAGUGGCGCACGGGUGCGUAACACGUGGGAAUCUGCCCUUUGCUUCGGAAUAACAGUUAGAAAUGACUGCUAAUACCGAAUAAUGUCGCAAGACCAAAGAUUUAUCGGCAAAGGAUGAGCCCGCGUAGGAUUAGCUAGUUGGUGGGGUAAAGGCUCACCAAGGCGACGAUCCUUAGCUGGUAUGAGAGGAUGAUCAGCCACACUGGGACUGAGACACGGCCCAGACUCCUACGGGAGGCAGCAGUGGGGAAUAUUGGACAAUGGGCGAAAGCCUGAUCCAGCAAUGCCGCGUGAGUGAUGAAGGCCUUAGGGUUGUAAAGCUCUUUUACCAGGGAUGAUAAUGACAGUACCUGGAGAAUAAGCUCCGGCUAACUCCGUGCCAGCCGCCGCUGUAAUAC